AUUGAACGCUGGCGGCAGGCCUAACACAUGCAAGUCGAGCGAGCGGCGGACGGGUGAGUAAUGUAUGGGGACUGCCCGAUAGAGGGGGAUAACUACUGGAAACGGUAGCUAAUACCGCAUACUAUCGGAUAACCCAUAUGGGAUUAGCUAGUAGGUGAGGUAAUGGCUCACCUAGGCGACGAUCCCUAGCUGGUCUGAGAGGAUGAUCAGCAAGACUGGGACUGAGACACGGCCCAGAAUGCUAGGGAGGCAGCAGGGGGGAAGAUUGGACAAUGGGGGCAAGCCUGAUGAAGCCAUGCCGCGUGUAUGAAGAAGGCCCUAGGGUUGGAAAGUACUUUCAGUCGGGAGGCGUUACCGACAGAAGAAGCACCGGCUAACUCCGUGCCAGCAGCCGCGGUAAUAC
rnacentral:rRNA from 1 species